UACAGAGGGUGCGAGCGUUAAUCGGAAUUACUGGGCGUAAAGCGCGCGUAGACGGUUUUGUAAGUCAGAUGUGAAAUCCCCGGGCUCAACCUGGGAACUGCAUUUGAUACUGCAUGGCUAGAGUACGGUAGAGGGAAGCGGAAUUUCCGGUGUAGCGGUGAAAUGCGUAGAUAUCGGAAGGAACACCAGUGGCGAAAGCGGCUUCCUGGACCAGUACUGACGUUCACGUGCGAAAGCGUGGGGAGCAAACAGG
rnacentral:rRNA from 1 species